UUUUAGUUUUCAGUCACAGUGACAGUUUUCAGUUUUUAACACUGAAUACUGAGACUGGAAACUGAGACUGAGACUGAAU
rnacentral:sRNA from 1 species